rnacentral:rRNA from 1 species
AGUGAACGCUGGCGGCGUGCUUAACACAUGCAAGUCGAACGAGAACGGGCUAUAGCUUGCUAUAGUUGUCAGCUAAGUGGCGCACGGGUGAGUAAUGUAUAGGUAAUAUGCCUCUUACUAAGGGAUAACAAAUGGAAACGUUUGCUAAUACCUUAUACUCCUUAUUAACAGAAGUCAAUAAGGGAAAGAUUUAUUGGUAAGAGAUUAGCCUGUAUUGUAUCAGUUAGUUGGUGGGGUAAUGGCUUACCAAGACUAUGACACAUAACUGGUUUGAGAGGAUGAUCAGUCACACUGGAACUGAGACACGGUCCAGACUCCUACGGGAGGCAGCAGUGGGGAAUAUUGCACAAUGGACGAAAGUCUGAUGCAGCAACGCCGCGUGGAGGAUGACACAUUUCGGUGCGUAAACCUCUUUUGCCUCGCCAUGAAGGUGAGGCGAAUAAGCAUCUACAAACUACGUGCCAGCAGCCGCCGUAA